rnacentral:lncRNA from 1 species
CACUUCAGUUUGUACCGCAUCUCACACCCUGAAGCUAGCAGGGUAAAGAGCUCUCAGGAGAAUGAAGAGGCCUCUGGCCCAUUCUAGUAUGGUCUCUCCCAUCAGGAGGGGAAAGGCAAAUAUUGCAUGGGACCUGGCAAUAAGAUUGAAUGAGACAUAAGCAAAGUCUGAUCGCAUCCUUAUCCCCACCCCUUAACAGCCACUAUAUCCCUUGAGGCAAGUGAAGGGCCCCAGAAGUGAGGGAUCUUAUUGCUAAGUAGAUCAGACAGAGUUCUUAAAGAUUCUAAUAUGUUGCCUGUAUUGUCUCAUCUGUAAAAUGGGUGUUAAAAUAGCACUCAUAUCUUGGGUUAUGAAGAUGAAAGAAGAUAAUCUAUGUAAAGGACUGAGCACAGGGCCUGGGACAGUUAGUGAUAGAUACAUGUUAGCUACUGUUGCUAUUUUGUAUUCCAUGUUCAAUCUAUGAUAUUGAUUAACCUGUUUAUUGAUUGCUGGAUUUUCAUUUAGUAAAUUAAUUUUCAAUAAAUGAUUUUCACUUAAGCA